GACGAACGCUGGCGGCGUGCUUAACACAUGCAAGUCGAACGGAAAGGCCCUGCUUGCAGGGUACUCGAGUGGCGAACGGGUGAGUAACACGUGGGUGAUCUGCCCUGCACUUCGGGAUAAGCCUGGGGAACUGGGUCUAAUACCGGAUAGGAGCCAUUUUUAGUGUGAUGGUUGGAAAGUUUUUUCGGUGGAGGAUGAGCUCGCGGCCUAUCAGCUUGUUGGUGGGGUAAUGGCCUACCAAGGCGGCGACGGGUAGCCGGCCUGAGGGGGUGGACGGCCACAUUGGGACUGAGAUACGGCCCAGACUCCUACGGGGGGCAGCAGUGGGGAAUAUUGCACAAUGGGCGCAAGCCUGAUGCAGCGACGCCGCGUGGGGGAUGACGGCCUUCGGGUUGUAAACUCCUUUCGCUAGGGACGAAGCUUUUUGUGACGGUACCUAGAUAAGAAGCACCGGCUAACUACGUG
rnacentral:rRNA from 1 species